AAAAAAAAACCAAUCGUCGCAAUGUGUGUAAACAAAUCUUUAACAGUAUACGUUUCACCUUCACACAUAGCUUGAACGACAGUUCAGGUAUGGUAAACCCCUUAAAAUACUAAGAAGGUCGGAAAAAAAUAACUUACUUCUUGAGCACACAGCGAGCUUAUUAGCAGCAAAACGGCAACUUGUGGACUAUAUCACACCAAACGGCAG
rnacentral:lncRNA from 1 species